rfam:Bacillus koreensis strain DSM 16467 scaffold11, whole genome shotgun sequence.
UCUGGUGAUUAUGGCAGAGAGGUCACACCCGUUCCCAUACCGAACACGGAAGUUAAGCUCUCGAGCGCCGAUGGUAGUUGGGGGCUUCCCCCUGUGAGAGUAGGACAUCGCCAGGC